rnacentral:tRNA from 1 species
GCCGGGAUGGCGGAACAGGCAGACGCNNCCGCCUUCGCGGGCGUGCGGGUUCGAACCCCGCUCUCGGCACCC